UACGGGGGGGGCAAGCGUUGUUCGGAAUUACUGGGCGUAAAGGGCUCGUAGGCGGCCAACUAAGUCGGACGUGAAAUCCCUCGGCUUAACCGGGGAACUGCGUCCGAUACUGGAUGGCUUGAGUAUGGGAGAGGGAUGCGGAAUUCCAGGUGUAGCGGUGAAAUGCGUAGAUAUCUGGAGGAACACCGGUGGCGAAGGCGGCAUCCUGGACCAUUACUGACGCUGAGACACGAAAGCGUGGGUAGCAAACAGG
rnacentral:rRNA from 1 species